rnacentral:misc_RNA from 1 species
AUUAUUGUCCUCUUAUUGACAAAAAAAUUGUAGCACAUAUUCAGUUUACGUAUUUCUUUCUCAUGGUAAAAGCAAGCAAGACAUAUCCUGUGCAUUUAACAAAAAAAUGGUGAAAUUGCCCUUCCUAUUCUUUCAGAAAAUUUUCACAAAGCACUAAGAUAUUAUCUAAAUGCCAAAAGGGUACCCAAAAAUUAUACAGUUACACUACAAAUUGUGCACACUUUUGCUGCAUGAUCCCUGUUGUACACCGCGGAAGUGUAUAAACUACAAAGAAAUAAAGCAAACACUCAAAAUACCAAUAUUUAUGUGGUUCACCCUCUCAACA